GGUCUUUGCAUCGGAACUAAACACAUUUAUUCAAAAACCAGUUGUUGGCAUGACACGGGUUAUGUUCUUCUUAUAUAUGUUAUGAUGGUAUGAUACUAAACCCCUAACGGGAAGGAUUGUGCCUGAUGUUCAUAUGAUGAAAUCAUAAUCUUUCAGUCAGUUUAAUUGAAGUCUGGAGCUGGCAUGUCAGUUAACUGCUAGUAGUCUGUUGUUAUUUAUGUAUUAUUGUCAUUUUGUUUAUUUUCUUUGGUUACAUCUCCUGACAUCAGACUCGGACUUCUCUUGAACUGAAUUUUAAUGUGCGUAUUGUUAUGCGUUUACUUUUCUACAUUGGCUAGAGGUAUAGGGGGAGGGUUGAGAUCUCACAAACAUGUUUAACCCCGCCGCAUUUUUGCGCCUGUCCCAAGUCAGGAGCCUCUGGCCUUUGUUAGUCUUGUAUUAUUUUAAUUUUAGUUUCUUGUGUACAAUUUUGAAAUUAGUAUGGCGUUCAUUAUCACUGAACUAGUAUAUAUUUGUUUAGGGCCAGUUGAAGGACGCCUCCGGGUGCGGGAAUUUCUCGCUACAUUGAAGACCUGUUGGUGACCUUCUGCUGUUGUUUUUUUCUAUGGUCGGGUUGUUGUCUCUUUGGCACAUUCCCCAUUUCCAUUCUCAAUUUUAUGACAUAUCAUAUGAUAGUCAUAAGAUGAUCAUAAAAUAUGUCCUGUCCUAAGAUAUAUCUUAUGACAUAUCUUAUGAUACUUUCGAAAACCAGGCCCCUGCUUCCUUUGAUAACUAAUUAUAUAAGUUUGGGUAAGAAGUUAUCCUACUAAACACCUUGACUUGAAUAUUUGGGACACAA
rnacentral:lncRNA from 1 species